AACGAACGCUGGCGGCAUGCCUAACACAUGCAAGUCGAGCGCCCGUAGCAAUACGGGAGCGGCGCACGGGUGAGUAACGCGUGGGAACCUGCCCAGAGGUUCGGGACAACCGCGGGAAACUGCGGCUGAUACCGGAUGAUACCUGAGGGUCAAAGAUUUAUCGCCUUUGGAGGGGCCCGCGUCGGAUUAGGUAGUUGGUGGGGUAACGGCCUACCAAGCCUAUGAUCCGUAACUGGUCUGAGAGGAUGACCAGUCACACUGGGACUGAGACACGGCCCAGACUCCUACGGGAGGCAGCAGUGGGGAGUAUUGGACAAUGGGGGCAACCCUGAUCCAGCAAUGCCGCGUGGGUGAUGAAGGCCUUCGGGUUGUAAAGCCCUUUCGGCGGGGACGAUGAUGACGGUACCCGCAGAAGAAGCCCCGGCUAACUUCGUGCCAGCAGCCGCAGUAAAAC
rnacentral:rRNA from 1 species